UGUCAUCCCGCGGUGCUGUGAUCCGUGUGUCUAACUUUAACACGCUUCCUCUUUCUAACUAGUUCUACGGGUCAAGAUUGGUGUCAUUAACGCACUGAUAUCUCUUCUACUAAUUGAUCAGCUGCUAAGGUACCCAAGACAAGCAGGAGACGAGAGAUAUAUGUUUGCUAAUAAAUCAUACCAGUCCUUCCCGUGUUCGUGUCUGGCCUUAACACUCUUCCUUUUGGUUUCUUUAACGCGCUGAUUCUUCUUCUCCUAUUUGAUCAUCUGCUAAAGUAUCCAAGUUAAGCAGGAAACAAGAUAUAUAACCGUUAAUGAUACCAGUCCUUGCCCAACUCGUGUCUCGCCUUAACACUCUUCCUUCUGCUUGUGUUAUUGGCUCAAGAUUGGUGCCAUUAAUUAACGUGCUGAUAGUUCUUCUCCUACUUGAUCAACUGCUAAAGUGCGUAAGUUAAGCAGGAGGCAGAUACCGGCGCGUUAAUGAUACCCAGUCUGCUGUGCUCCAAGGCCUCGUGUGAACUGUGAAGGACCUGAAGUGAACGUGUGUCAGACCGGUGCCACGCCGAGCUCAGCGGCAAGGUGAGUACCUUGCAUGCCUCGUCGAGGGACAGCGCCGCGGGACCUCAGCAGCGACACCUCCACGUGGUGUCAAGGCGCCUGGUCUCCAUAAAACGAAACUAUAACACAUUCAAGCCUCACCUGUACAAGCGGUUGGCGGACACACUACACCAUCCACCAACAGCAGGCUACAAGGGCCACAACGACAACUCGCUGCUUUCAGCCACCCAGGAACCCAGGAGGGAGAGACCUCCGGCAGCUGGACUGAGCGGAGGCCCACCUCAGCGCUGCCACCAACAGGCGGCAUUCCUCACAGCCAUCAGAGGUAGAGGUGGACAAAACGCGGCCCCCACUGGUGCUACCCCUGCAUAAUGUACAUGGUAUUGGCGCCAUACUUUGGCCGCACGGAACAGUAACCCUUUAUCGACGAGCCCGGAAGGAAUGAUGAACAGCAGGGUGUUGUGCGCCGGCUGCCCAGACCCUCAGAUUCGUUGCUAGGCGUGCUAACCACUAUACCACGGAGGCGCCUUCAGUAUAAAAG